CAUGAUUGUUUAUUGGCAUUGAUCUCACAGUCUGGUGAGGACUUCUUUACUGAUAAUGUCAAGUUCAGGUUACCCUCCCAACCAAGGAGCAUUCAGCACAGAACAAAGUCAUUAUCCUCCUCACUCUGUAAAGUAUACGUUUCCCAGCACCCACCACCAGCAGGAUCCAGCAUUUGGAGGCAAACAUGAAGCUCCAUCCUCUCCAAUUCUGGGGCAACCGUGUGGAGAUGAUCAAAAUGCUUCACCUUCAAAACUUUCAAAGGAAGAGUUAAUAGAGUGUAUGGAUCGUGUAGAUCGAGAAAUUGCAAAAGUAGAACAGCAGAUCCUUAAACUGAAAAAGAAACAAGUAAAAGUCUUCGUCUAAUAUAUUCUAAGAAUGUAUGUUUUUCUCCCUACAGAAGAUAUUUUUGAGUUUUCCA
rnacentral:lncRNA from 1 species